ensembl:snRNA U6 U6 spliceosomal RNA
GUGCUCACUUCAGCAGCACAUAUACUAAAAUUGAAAUAAUACAGAGAAAAUUAGCAUGGCCCCUGCACAAGGAUGACACUCAAAUUCCUGAAGCGUUCCAUAUUUUU